rnacentral:rRNA from 1 species
UACGGGGGGAGCAAGCGUUGUUCGGAUUUACUGGGCGUAAAGGGCGCGUAGGCGGUCGUGACAAGUCACUUGUGAAAUCUCCGGGCUUAACUCGGAACGGUCAAGUGAUACUGUCGGACUAGAGUACAGAAGGGGCAACUGGAAUUCUCGGUGUAGCGGUGAAAUGCGCAGAUAUCAGGAGGAACACCGGUGGCGAAGGCGGGUCUCUGGGCCGAAACUGACGCUGAGGAGCGAAAGCGUGGGGAGCGAACAGG